GGACUAAAGAUGGCUUUUUGCCAUAAUUAUAUAUAGCAAGAGAAGUAAAUUUAAAUCAUCAAAACCUCAUUUCUUCAGCUAAAAAUAGAACAGCCCGUAUGUCUCCUUCAAUCCCAAAUCACAAAAACUUCAAAACUCCAUAUCUUCUUCGUUUUUCAACGGAAUUGAGCGAUUCUUACAAUCACAAAACGAGGAGGAGGAGCUCUACUGAUCUAACUCUAUAAUUUGAGGCUUGCUACGGGUUACGGAGCUACCACUCCAAUUUUCUAGCGCCGGUCUCGACUCUAAAUUCCGGGUCGUGACACUGAGAACAGGAUGGCGGCGAUGUUUUCCGGCAGAAGAGACGUUUUCCGGCGACGGUUUCAGUUGGAUUAGGUGUAAGUAAUUAGUUAUCAUAAUUAAAUUUAAUUAGUGUUAGUUGUGUUUAAUUAAUGUUGAUUGUAUUUAAUUAGUUAUAAUUUUUAAAUUUAGCAAUCUCAAUCUCUUUUUAGGGUGUUUUUGUGUCAGAGGGGCUAAUUAAAGCUAAAAACGCAAAUUGCGGGUUGAUUUGUAACAAAAGCAGUGAGAAUGAUUUAUUUGAUAUUUUGUGUCAAAUUGAGGGGGUGAAUUGAUCCUU